AGCUCUUGGAGUUCUUGUGGCUCUUUCUAUUUUUGGUUUUAUCCGAUGUUGCAGAGUAAAAAAGACAGAAAGAGAUGCAGACAUCGAACUGAGUUGUACAGCGCCCUCAAAUGAAGAGGAGAAACCCGAUGAUUUGAACAGGAGAGACACCGGGAACAAAUCUGAGACGGAUAGUCUUCUGAAAUCAUCAACAGAAGCCGCCCCACAAUGCAAAAAUAUGACUGAAACCUCUGAAAAUCUAUCUGAAACAGCUAUAAGAUAACAGUAGUAUGGACAUAACUUUUCAUUUCAUGUGCUGCUCGUAUAAAUCUUUAUUCCCACUCAGCUGUCUCUGAAUGAUUUGAAGUGAAAAUUAACUGGAGCAGUUUGACUUGCUCAGAGACAAUGGUUUCACGGCACUUUUCUUCAUCCUUAUACCCGGAAUUGUCUAAGUCUGCUUCAUUGAAAAAGGGAACCAGCUUUAUGACACUGAAUAGAAACGACUGCCACUCCUCUCAGAGGCUCUGCUGAUUCUCAUGAAGAGUGACACCUAGUGGAGAGUUGGUGUAAAUAAAGGUUAAACAUUUAUCCUC